UCCCGUGUUUUUAGUAACUCCCCGAUUUCUGUCCUUAAGCAUCACUAACAGGCCUUUCCUAUGAGUUUGUCUGCUAUACAAGACAGGAUAGCAUUCAUGGCGUAACCAUGAAUGACUUUACGUUGUUUAUUUGGGGACAUGUUCUCAUAUAAAUACACAUUUCUACCAUGCUGGUCACAGACAAAUAAAGAAAGAUGACUGUUUCUCUACGUCUGUGCUUGUAAAACAGAAACUACGUCAGUGUCUGUGUAUUUUUAUAGUAAAGUGAUGUGGCGACAUCAUUCUGCCAUACUGUUGAGAUCAUCUAUCCUAGUGACAGUAAAUGGACAGAACCAAAAAUAAUCAUUUGGUGCCCAGUGCUUGGUACAGGUACUUUACAACAAAUAUCCUGUCAAGGCAGAUCAUAACCAACUUUUAAGUACAGUUUCUGAAGAAGAAAUAGGGGUGCAACCUUCCCACCCGUUUACUGGAAACGCUCCAAACA